rnacentral:rRNA from 1 species
UACGUAGGGUCCAAGCGUUGUCCGGAGUUACUGGGCGUCAAGCGCGCGCAGGCGGCGGUGCUGGCCCGGCGUGAAAGCCCCCGGCUCAACCGGGGAGGGUCGUCGGGGACCGCACCGCUUGAGGGCGGUAGGGGCUGGUGGAAUGCCUGGUGUAGUGGUGAAAUGCGUAGAGAUCAGGCGGAACACCCGUGGCGAAGGCGGCCAGCUGGGCCGUCCCUGACGCUGAGGCGCGAAGGCGUGGGGAGCGAACGGG